rnacentral:rRNA from 1 species
AAGACCUUGCACUUUUGGAGCGGCCGAUGUCUGAUUAGCUAGUUGGUGGGGUAAUGGCCUACCAAAGCUUCGAUCAGUAGCUGGUCUGAGAGGACGACCAGCCACACUGGGACUGAGACACGGCCCAGACUCCUACGGGAGGCAGCAGUGGGGAAUUUUGGACAAUGGGGGCAACCCUGAUCCAGCCAUUCCGCGUGAGUGAAGAAGGCCUUCGGGUUGUAAAGCUCUUUCGCAAGGGAAGAAACGAUGUAAGUUAAUAGCUUAUGUUAAUGACGGUACCUUGACAAGAAGCACCGGCUAACUACGUGCCAGCAGCCGCGGUAAUACGUAGGGUGCAAGCGUUAAUCGGAAUUACUGGGCGUAAAGCGUGCGCAGGCGGUUUUAUAAGUCAGAUGUGAAAUCCCCGAGCUCAACUUGGGAACU